UCAAUAACUCCCGAACGUCCGGGCUGUGGCUACUUGUCCCGAACGCCUCGCUCGCCGUCAGAUCGUGCUGCACGAAUCUGAGGAAAAAGACUUGCCACGUCACGUUUGCAGAUCGUUCGGUCUAUUAGUUUGUCGGCCCGAACGCGUGAGACCAGCUAACCUUAUCCCCUUAUCCACACGACCCCCACUCUCUCCUCACGGACGCCCGACAACAGCCUCCUCCGCCAUGCGCCGUCUUCUCCGGCCGCCGCCGGCGAUUUGUCACCACCGGACGGAGAGACCGUCUGAGCCGCGACCGGCCUCGGGCGCCUCCAUGUCCGCUCCUUUGCAGCUCCGCGGAUCAGCAUCGCGCGCCAUCCCCGAUGGCCCUGGAGCCGCCGCAAUGCUGGUCAACGCGCCGGCUGGAGGUGCGCUCCUGAAGGAGGCCGAGCGCUGCGGCGACGCCUGCUCUCCUGCUCUGCCGCGGCGGGCGUCGAGGCCGCCUCCCCUCGUCGAGGUCUUCGCGCGAACCGUCAGGCCUCCGUCGCGCUCCGGGUCAACCUCCUUCUGCAAGCUCCUCGCCGACCGGCUCGAGGUGCCGCCGCGGGAAGAGAGCCGAGCGCCGCCUGCUCGCCCGUGCUGACGUGACCGACAUCGGGGCCGCCUAUCUACACGUGGUUCUCGUGCGCUGCGGCAAGCACAAGGCGCCGCCCUCCGGGUGAAUGCAGCUACCGACGACGACGAGACUGAAGAAACGAAGCAUACAAGAGAAGUAUUCUUUCAGCAAGCGAAGAGCUACUUUUAUUUGAGCUAUGAUGAUGCAAAAAUGAGUCCACAUCCCUACUAUUUUUAGCCUACAGCAACACUACUUUGACUCACUGAUGACGAAAACACCAGUGUUUUGGAUUAUUUCUUACCAUAUAUGUUCAUAAAUGACGGCAAAUUCAUGUGAUUUUGCCAUGGCAACUUUUGUGUAAACAUGAAGUUGGCAUCAUGGCUUAAAAGUCUGUUGAUUUUUGUAUUAUUUUUUUAUUGUCUAGUUUGAUUGUUGUUGCUUUUUGUACUUGUGCAGCAACAGAGUAAAUUCUCGUCAAUUUUUCGACAUCAACAAAUUGUAGCUACCAUGUUUCGUAAAGUGGAUAGUUGCCAUGGCAAAUUUGCCAUGUUUUUGCUAUGAUUCUUUUUCACACCAUGGUAAAUUGAUAUUCACUCUUUUAUAGAUCGUUUUGCCAUGUAUUUCAGAACUCUAAUUAGAGAUCUCUAAAAUUGCCAUGACAAAUGAUCUAUAAUACAUAUCAUUUUUUCUAAAUUUACCAUGAUUUACUUCGCUUAGUUUGAAUAUGACCAUGGGGAAUUCACUAUGAAUUGCAGAUCGUUUGCCAUGGCAAAUUAUAAUCAAUUGACAUGGCAAUUUCACAAUCUUGUAUAGGUACCAUCUUCUGCUUUUUAGUAGAUAGUUACCAUGGCAAAUAAUUUAGAGAGAAGGAUUUAAGACUAAGCAUGUACCGUGCUAUAUAUUUUUUUCUUAAAUUUGUUGUCUCACUGUAUAAUUUUUCUUAAAUUUUCUUGGAAGAUGGCAAAUAUAGUUAUCGAAUCAUGGCAAAUUUAGUUCUCGGAUCAUGGAAAAUUUAUUGAUUUCUUGCCAUGUCAAAUUUUUAUUUUGGAUCAUGGCGCAAUUUUACUGUUUUCUACCAUGGCAUUUUAUUUAUAGACCAUGGCAAUUAAUCUUAUACUUUUUGCCAUGUAAACUUCAAAAUUUUAGUUAAUUGAACAUGGCAAAUUUAGUUUACGCAUUGUAGCAAAUUUGCUUCCUGUAAGAUGGCAAAUAUAGAUAUCGAAUCAUGGCAAAUUUAGUUUUCGGAUCAUGUUAAAUCCAUUGCUUUCUUGCCAUGGCAACGUUUGAUUUUUAUAAUUGUCCCCUGUAAUUCUUUAAAUUGUCAAAAAUAACACAAAAUGGCAAAUAUUGUCGUGGCAAGUUUUACUAAUUAUUUCACUUUAUUAACAUGGCGAAUUUUGCGUAAAUACCCAUGGCAAUUUCUUAACAUUAAUUGCCAUGCACGUUUUACUAUUUAUUUGCCAUGGCAAACUUACCUAAAUCCCCAUGGCAAUAUUUAACUUUAAUUGCUAUGGCAAGUUUUAUUGUCAUGGCAAGUUUACUAUUUAUUGAAUUUUUAUUGUCAGGGCAAGUUUUACUAUUUAUUUUGCCAUGACUAAUAUACAUUCAGUAAUAUGGCAAAUCUACCUAAAUCCCAAUGGGAAUAUUUAACUUUUAUUUUCAUGGCAAGUUUUACUUUUUAUUUGCCGAUGCCAAAUUGACCCUUAUUAUCAUGAUAAAUUUACCUAAAUUUCCAUGGCAAUUUUUAAGUUUUAUUGCCAUGGCAAGUUUUACUAUUUAUUUGACCUUACUAACAUGGCAAUUUUUAGUUUUUUUGCCAUGUCAAUUAUAUGCAGAUUUUAAUAUGAUUUUGUAAUUUUUCACACACGGCAUUUUUCGCAGGCAUUACAUGUAAAUUUAAGUAAAAAUACCAUUGACAUUUUUGCUAUGAAUGUGCCAUAUACAAAUUAUUAUUGUUUGUGUGAUAGAAAAUGCCAUGACUUUUUCUUUUUUUCUUUUUGGGUUAUUGUUAAAAUGUAUUCUUGUUCACCCAUGGCAUUUUUCUGUGUUUGGAAGUUGAUGGCAUCUUUUCACUUAACAAAGAAAAAAUGUUUCUUUUGUCAGAGCAAAAAAAGGAAAAUCUGGGCUUUUUUCUGCUAUUUUUCGUUUCUGGGCUUUUUUGGUCGAGAACUUUUGUUUUCUGUUAGCGAUCAGUUUUUGUCUAAAAAUAUGUUAGCGAUCAGUUUGUCUACGUGGAGCGUUCGGGCUGAUGAUCAAUUUGUUCGGACGCUCGAUCAUCCCAGCCCGAACGAAUCGUUCGGUGGGAGGUUCCUUGAAAUCUGCCGUUCGGCAGUUAUUGGUGUCCUUGUUUUUUUACGUGGGUGCUACUUUCUUUCCCUUUUUUUCCGAACAUGGGCAAUUUGUUUUCUUUUUGACGUGACUAAUUUAUUUGCUUCUUUUUUGACACAUGAUUGAUUUGUUUCCUGAUUUAAGACAUUCUCUUAAUUGGUAAUUCUGUUUUAAGAUGUUCUUUUUUCCUUAAUUAAGAUGAUUUGAUUUGGUACAUUAUUGGGAAGAUCUCGUGUGUUGCUGUUUGGAUAUGUGCGGUCAAGAUUUAGUGGAUUCACACAACUCGCUCUUGCGGUCAAGAUUUUAUCCGGAUUGUUUUCCUUGGGAGAAUUUGGUGCAUUUGAGUGGAUGAGGAUGGAGUAUGUACCGAAGAGAAACCGGAUCGAAGAAGAAAAAAACGAAUGUGGAAGGUGAAGGGAAAAAACCAGCGUGAGAUGGGAGGAAGAAAACCAGUUUGGAGGGGUAGUGGUGAGUGGUGAGGCGAAACUAAACCGCUGAGGCAAAAAUAAACCAUAGAUACCGGCCUACCAACUCCAACUUUAGAAGUAGAGAUCAAACAGAAAAUAAAAUAAAAUAAACGGAACAUAGAAAAAAA